GUGGGGUGCAGCUCCUUGCUGGUGCUCAGCUCCUACCAGCACCCUCUGUCCUUGGAAAAAAAUCCACCAGGGGCCUUCCCUGGCUCUGGUGAUGUGCAAAGGGAGGGAGCUGGGCUGCAAUCAUCUCCUCUCCUCAAGCCAGUAGGAGCAGGAGGUGCACCAAGAAAAGGCAUGAGUGGAGUUGGGAUGGGCUGCUGUGCCCAGCAGAUGCCCUGAGCAAUGCUGGGAGGGGGUUUGGUGAGCAGAGCAGCCUCUUGUCUCUUGAGUGGGGCUGGGGAGAACGAGGGUGAAGAAGCACCAGAAAUAGGGAGCAGCUCAAACUUUGUUGGAGCAGAGGCUCUGGAGGUGUGAAGGAGGAGGAGGAGGAGAGGGAAACAACUCUUCAUCCGGGCUCUGAAGUUGGCUUUUAACAGGGAGAAGAGGCAAGCAGGGGGCCCUGGCUGCAGUUUGGGUGUUGUGAAUGUCGGUUGAUUUGCCAUAACCAGCUCUCACCUGGAGUCACGGAGACCUGGAAGCAAAGGCCUGCCCCUCAAACCAUCUCUCAGCACUUUCUGAGAGGACCUGGAAACAUCUUCUGAGCAAGAAAACUCCAUCUUUCAUCUCCAGCCACCCAGAUCUGCAAAGUCAGCCUGGUGCCAAGCGAUGUGCCAGGACAGAUGCCAGCCUGUGACCGAGCAGGACCGGCGUGUUGUUGAGAUCCGCCUGAUGUGUCCCCAGCCCUGUGCCAGGGCUUGGCCCUUGUGCUGGGAGCGGCGGGCAUGGCUGUGACACACAGACACCAGAGCCCUCUCAAGCACCGCCAGCUGCUUUAUGGGCUGCUUGGAAACAGUUGGAAAGGCCUGUAAUGCCAGCGCUCAGUGUUAGUUACUGCUGAUGCAGCUGGGAGAGGAAAUAAGGGGGAAUUGCAGCUCUGAAAGAUGUUGUGGGCAUCUCUGGUCCAACAUCAAGGGUGGGUUUGUGGAGCACAAGGCAGCUGUGGCUCAGGAGGGGAAAGCAGAAGGUCUGCGGGACUCCUCCAUGCUGGGAGAUGAUUGUGAGCAGCGUGGAGCAUGUUGGAGGGAAAGUGCUGCAGGUUGUGGUCUGAAAUGUAUUUCACGAGUGAGUCAAAGAAAGCUGCACUAACCCCAUGGCUGCCCUGCCUCCUGCUGAGCUGCUGGCUGAAGCUGCUUCCCAUCCAAGGAUGGACUGGGGUGGAUCCAUCCAGUAUGUGCUGGUGAUCCCUUGCUGUUAGCUGGAGGAGGGCUCUGGACGACGUGUCGGAUCUGAAGCCUUUGAGGGGGGAUCCAGAUGGUGUCUGCAUCCCUUGCUUAUCUGGCUAAAAAUAAAGAACUUUAGAAAAAUCUGAGUCUUCCUUUCCCACUGCAAAUUCCCCAUUCUGGAUUCUUUGGAAGGGGUGGAGGUGUUUGUGUUCCUGCAGGUUCCCCGGGAAGUGCUCCUGCCAUGGGCAGAAGGUGCCAAGGGCGGUGCAGACGCUCCGAGGGGGAGUCUCUGUGUGAGGGAGCUGUGAGAGGUGCGAGCGGAGGGCAGAUGUGGUCACACAUCACCCGGGGUGUGUGCAGGGAGGAAACGGCAGCCGAGGGCAGAACAGACGCUUUGACCUUUCGGAGGAGCUGUCUGUGCGAGGUGGCUGGGGGGCAGUGAGCCAUUUAGCACAACAGCUGAGUCCUUGGGCUGAGCCACGCGAGGACUGUCCCAGCAGAGGAGCCGCUUCUCCCUAGAAGGCUCCCAGGGUUCACGCUUAGAUGGUUCCUUUAAAGGUUAAUUCUCACCGGCAGCAUCUGGAAUAAAACUCGGAGUAC